rnacentral:rRNA from 1 species
UCGGUAAUUCCAGCUCCAAUAGCGUAUAUUAAAGUUGUUGCAGUUAAAAAGCUCGUAGUCGAUAUUCUAAGUACUCUAAGCAGUCUAAACUUAGACGCUUAGAGUGCUUAUCAGCUCGAGAACUUUAUUCGUCCUUAAGUGGUCGAUAUUGUAAAUCGGGCAUUUUACUGAGAAAAAAUUAGAGUGUUCAAAGCAGGCAUUUGCCUUGAAUACACAAGCUUGGAAUAAUGGAAUAAGACUAAGGUCUUUUUUGUUGGUUAUAAGAUUUUAGUAAUGGUUAAUAGAAACAGUGGGGGGCAUUAGUAUUUAAUUGUCAGAGGUGAAAUUCUUGGAUUUAUUAAAGACUAACUUAUGCGAAAGCAUUUGCCAAGGAUGUUUUCAAUUGAUCAAGAACGAAAGUUAGGGGAUCGAAGACGAUUAGAUACCGUCGUAGUCUUAACUAUAAACGAUUCCGACUAUGGAUUGGAAGAGUUAUCUUAGCUCUUUCAGCACAUUAUGAGAAAUCAUAAGUCUUUGGGUUCCGGGGGAAGUAUGGUCGCAAGAAUGAAACUUAAAGGAAUUGACGGAAGGGCACACCAGGAGAGGAACUUGAGGCUUAAUUUGACUCAACA